CCUACGGGAGGCUGCAGUGGGGAAUAUUGCACAAUGGGGGAAACCCUGAUGCAGCGACGCCGCGUGAGUGAAGAAGUAAUUCGUUAUGUAAAGCUCUAUCAGCAGGGAAGAAAAUGACGGUACCUGAGUAUGAAGCCCCGGCUAACUACGUGCCAGCAGCCGCGGUAAUACGUAGGGGGCAAGCGUUAUCCGGAUUUACUGGGUGUAAAGGGAGCGUAGGUGGCAUGGCAAGCCAGAAGUGAAAACCCGGGGCUUAACCCCGCGGAUUGCUUUUGGAACUGUCAGGCUGGAGUGCAGGAGGGGCAGGCGGAAUUCCUGGUGUAGCGGUGAAAUGCGUAGAUAUCAGGAGGAACACCGGUGGCGAAGGCGGCCUGCUGGACUGUAACUGACACUGAGGCUCGAAAGCGUGGGGAGCAAACAGGAUUAGAUACCCCUGUAGUC
rnacentral:rRNA from 1 species